rnacentral:rRNA from 1 species
GGGGAAAUCGAGGAGCUCGCGGCCUAUCAGCUAGUUGGCGGUGUAAUGGACCACCAAGGCUAUGACGGGUAGCUGGUCUGAGAGGAUGGCCAGCCACAUUGGGACUGAGAGACGGCCCAG